ACUUCCGGGGUCGCAAAGUUUUUGACGCUAGAUGUGUUUUGUGAGUUUUAGCCAUUCAAGAAAAUAGUAAAGCUGAGGCUUGAGGAAACUUUAGGCAGUUUGCCCAGCUGUAUAAAGAGUGAGAUGAUGAGUUUGGGCACUCCUUGCGCAUCUAUGUGCCCAGCCCUCAAAAUAAUGGAACAACAACAAAAACCGUGCCUGGAUUAGUUUACGUUUUACUUGAGGGAAACCUAAAAUGAGCAUACAAAUAAAUUAUGGUGAGCUACAGAGUAAGACAUGGUAUGGAAAAAAAAUAGAACAGGAUAAAAGAAGAUGAAGAGACAUUCAUCUUUUUGAGACGGAGCCUUGCUUUAAUGCCCAGGCUGGAGUGCAGUGGCACGAUCUCCGAUCACUGCAAACUCCUCCUCCUGAGUAGCUGGGACUACAAACACGUGCCACCAUGCCCGGCUAAUUUUUGUAUUUUUGCAGAGAUGGAGUUUCACCAUGUUGGCCAGGCUGGUCUUGUACUCUUGAUUUCAGGUGAUCUGUCCGCCCUGGACUCCCAAAGUACGUUGCAAUUUUAAAUAGGAUUCUCAGAGUAGGCUUCAUUGAAAACGUUACAUUGAGCCAAGGUUUGAAGGAGGUAAUGGGCUAAACUAGUUAUCUGAGGGAAGAGCUGUUAAUCUGAGAAAAGCUGGUUAUCAAGGAGAAAAGCUGUCCUGGCAAAGCAAACAGCCAGCUCCAAUGCUCCUAGUCAGUAGCAAGCCAGGAAAGGCAAGAAGUGUUGAGAUUGGACAGGUGGUGUAGAGUUUUGUAAGGACUUUGGCUUUUAUUUUAUGUGAGAUGAAGAUCUCUUAUAGAAUUUUGAGGAAAAGAAUGGUAUGAUCUUAACAUCUUAAAAGUAUCAGGCUGGUGCAGUGGCCCAUGCCUGUAAUUUUAGCACUUUGGGAGGCCAAGGCAGGAGGAUUGCUUGAGCCUGGGAGUUCAAGACCAGCUUUGGCAACACUGUGAGACCCCAUGUCUACAAAAAGUAAAAAAAUAUAUAUAUCUGUUUGGGCAUGGUGUACAUCUGUGGUCCCAGCUACUCAGGAGGCUGAGGCAGUAGGAUCCAUUGAGCCUGGAAGGCUAGGUUGCAAUGAGCCAUGUUGGUGCCACUGCAUUCCAGCCUGGGUGAGAGGGUGAGACCCUCUCAAAAAAAUAAAUAAAAAUAAAGUAAAAGCGUCAUUCAGAAUCUUCUUUUGAGAAGAGCCUAUGCAGGGGCAGGGUGUGUGGAAGAAGGGAAGAAAUGAUAGUGGCCUGAACCAGGGUAAGUCUUGUGUAGGUGGUUGAGAAGUGAUUCCUCUGGAAGGUAAAGUUACUGAUGGAACUGAAGGGAGGACAUGAAAGAGUCAAGGAUGACUCCAAGACUUUCGACCUGAGUGAUUCAAAGGAUGGAGUUACCAUCAGGUGAAAUGCGGGAAAGUUCAGAUGGAACAAAUCUGAGAGAAAGCUGAGCUCUGGGCCAUAUGGAUCCUUUAAAAGAGACAGAUGCAUGAAGUUUGGAGCAGUGAAUAGGCAAAGGAUUUGCUCUGUACCUGACUGCAUUAUGAAACACCUAUUUGCCUGACCCACCCCUCCUCAGGCUGCACCACCCAGGACACUAUGAAAAUGAAGUUGCAACUGACUGGAAGUCAGCAGUACUACACCGGGUCCAGAUGAACGUAAACCAACAUGGAACCCCAAGGCCAUGCUCUAGAGGGUCAGCUCUGAACCUCCUUGAAAAUGAUGAGGUGGAGUUUGUCCGAACUGGCUAUGGGAAGGAAAUGGUAAAAGUUCUCCAUAUUCAGUGAGAUGGAAAAUAUCACAGCAUUAAAGAGGUGGCAACUUCAGUGCAACUUACUCUAAGUUCCAAAAAAGAUUACCUGCAUGGAGAUAAUUCAGACAUCAUCCCUACAGACACCAUCAAGAACACAGUUCAUGUCUUGGCAAAGUUUAAAGAAAAUGGAGUUAAGCAUGUCCAUGCAUUUAUUCACACUCCCACUGGAACACACUUCUGUGAAGUUGAACAGCUGAGAAGUGGACCCCAAGUCAUUCAUUCUGGAAUCAAAGACCUCAAGGUCUUGAAAACAACACAGUCUGGAUUUGAAGGUUUCAUCAAGGACCAGUUCACUACCCUCCCUGAGGUGAAGGACUGAUGCUUUGCCACCCAAGUGUACUGCAAGUGGCGCUACCACCAGUGCAGGGAUGUGGACUUCAAGGCUACCUGGGACACCAUUCGGGACCUUGUCAUGGAGAAAUCUGCUGGGCCCUAUGACAAAGGUGAAUACUUGACCUCUGUGCAGAAGACCCUCUGUGAUAUCCAGGUGCUCUCCCUGAGCCGAGUUCCUGCGAUAGAAGAUAUGGAAAUCAGCCUGCCAAACAUUCACUACUUCAACAUAGACAUGUCCAAAAUGGGUCUGAUCAACAAGGAAGAGGUAAGAGGCCCACAUAGAAAAGCUGUCAUUGGCCUCCGGGUCAGGCAAGAGAUGGGAGGUGUUCAGAGCAGCAAACCCUACAAGAUGUUGGAGGCCAUUCACAAGCAAGCGCCUGCUUGGAAAAUAACGUGGGAUAAGAACAAUGAAAUAAUUUGAUGAGGAAAGUGUUGUGCUACAUUGAAUACUCACGUCACAAAAUGUGCUUCUACAUUAUGUAACUUACAUGGUCAAAUGACUGGUACAUUUUAUUCCUGUGCUAAUUUGUCAAUUCUGUUCCAAGAGGAAAGAGUCUAACAUGACUUUUCAAAAACAAAACAAGACAAAACAAAACAAAAACCCCGACUUAAUUAGGCCUUUCUUACUUGAUGUUCUCUUAUUCUUGUAAGUUUUAGAAACACUGUAUUUGCUUCAGAGAAGAAACCCAUGUUAGAGCAGAAUCCUUAGAAAUUGUGGCCCAUUUAUACAUAUGUGCAUUUUGCUUCUCCUUAGCUCUUAGCACAUUUACUGCAAUAGAUUGCAAAUGAGCUAUUGGAUGUUAUAUCCCAGGUAUGUGGCAGGAAAGCCUGUAGUAUGUGAAAUUUUCAAGGACAAAGUUCCUGUUUUGUGAAGGAUGUUUCCUUCUUAGAAUUGUGAACGAUGGGGCUGAAAACCAGCUUUGGGUUUCACCUGUUCCUUUCAGUUCGGCAGACAGGCAGGCAGAACUGAACUGUAAACACUUGUGAGGCAAUUUGUUUUAAAAACACUUCAUGAUUUUGCUAGGAAGCCUCCAGGGAUUCAGUUCCAGUUCUCUGGGAAGCAGAGCUGCCCUUACAACACUCUUCUGUCUCCUCACUCACUCUCUCUGCUUACCCCAACCCUAUCUCAAGUACUUUCAUGGAGGAAUCGUGCAAGUAGUUCCAAGCCCACGUGCUGCCGGGGAGGCAGUUUCCAUGGCAUUCAAUGGAGCAGGCUGUCAUGUGGGGCUUGUGGUUUUGGUAGCCAAGAUUCUGCCUGAGGUUUGUUUCAUAUUCUUUAAAUUUCAUCUCAUAAUUUUCAUAGUGAUAGACUCAGAAAAUAUAUCUCCUUCCUUUUCCUUUUCCUUUUUAGAGUCAGACUUAAGUUCAUACCAUUCCUUAUUUUUAGACACCAAUGUUUUCCCUUUCUUUUUUCUACCCCAAUAUAGAAGCGUAAUAAGUCUUUUGAGGCAGCAUUUUAUUGAUUUGUCAUUGUAACAGAAUUUACCUUCUUCAAUACCGGCAGAUUUUAACUAGAGAAAUUUGAAAUUUUCCUAACCUCUUUAUACUUUGUCCAGAAGGAGCGUUUCCUUUCCUCCGGACUCUGAGCUGUGUGGAGUUGGCCCUUUGCAGUCGCCUUUGCUAGACCUUUACGAGUUCUGCUUUCUUGUCUGAACUCAUGAGGAAGGCAAAGCUUCUUUCCCAAAGAGAUUGACUUGAAGCCUUCUAACCAGACACACACAGGACCUUCCGGCUUCCGCAUACUUGAAACUUAUUCUCUGUAUGUUUCACAGUCUUAGCACUUGUUUCUCUUAGAGCUUAGCUACCUGUCAUUCUUCCAUUUGCCCAGGCUCCCUCUCAGAAAUUCUUAGUUUUGUGGAGCCUAUCAAGACCCUAUUGAGAAUAUGAUGGCUAUGGACCUUCUUCCCAGAAAAAUGCUCAUUCAUGUCUCUACAGGUGCCUCUACCUCUGCUAAGGAAGUAGUUCACACAUUAUCUUUAAAGUAUAAAGGAUUCCAACAGAAAUUUGCCACAUGAGGAAUAUAUUCAAUCAAACUUAGAAAGUAUACUGCUCACCUUUACAUAAGAAAGAAAUAAACGUAGUAUUAGUUUCCUGAGGCUGCCAUAACAAAUUACCAUAAACUUGGUGGUGUAAAACAAUAGAGAUUUAUUCCCUCAUAGUUCUGGAGGCCAGAGUCCAAAAUCAAGGUGUGGGCCGGGUGCUACUUCCAAAGACUCCAGGGGAGAUUCUGUUUCUGCCUCUUCCAGCCUCUCAUGCCUUCAGGGGUUCCUUGACUCACAGCUGCAUCACUCUAGUCUCUGCCUCCAUGGCCGCAUUGCUUCCUCCUUUUUCUGUCUGGCAGGUUUUCCCUGUAUGACUCUUAUAAGGACACUGGUCACUAGAUUUGGGGCCCACCUGGAUAACCUUAAGACAAGAUCCUCAAGAUCCUUAAUGACAUCUGCAAAGAUCUUUUUUCCACGUAAGGUCACAUUUGCAGGUUCUGACAGUGAAGGCAUGGUCUCUGUUUUGAGACCCAUUCAACCCAAUACACAAAGUAAGAGGUCAGUGAGCUGUUUAAGGGCAGCUCUUCUGGUGUAUGUGGAUCUUAGCUAUACAUAAGCUCCUCUUCCCUUCAGAUCUGGGGGAUGGUGCCAUACCCCUCCUGGUUUGAUCACUUGUCACAUAGAUUUUUAUAAAAGGGUAAAGAGCACGGACUUUGGAUGCAGAUAGUACUAAGGUUUAGACUGGGCUCCACCAAUUUCUAGUUGUGUGAUCUCGAGCAAGUAAUCUCUAAGCUUAAGCUCUCUUGUUUAUGAAAUGGGAAUAAUAAUAACCCCUACCUCACAGCACAGGGUAGUGAAGCAUUAACUGAGAUUAGAGCUAGAAUGCCUUUGGCUGCAAGUAACUGAAUACCUAAGAGUGUCUUAAACAGAAAGGACAUCAUGCUUGCUUCAGAAGUUUAAGAAGUAGGCUAUCCCAGGAUGGGAUGGCUAAUUCAGUCAUGGCAUCAGGACUCAGGCUCAUUCCACCCUUUGCCCUGCUAUCCUCAGUAUAUGGUAAUGUUUUCUCUAUGGCCACAAAAUGGGGGAUAAAGCUCCUGUUAAAGAUGCUCUGGUGCCUUCUGCAUGACAAUCUCAGGGUCUUACUGUAUUUUUCAUGGGGAUGCUGACCUGUGAUACUAAGAGUUCCAGGAAGGAGACUCGAAAAUGGGAUUUUGGAGCUGGAUCACCCGCUGGCUCACUAGCAAUGAGCCUUUGUAAUACUGUAAUCACACAAUUGUUAAAACCGUCUGCAGAGGUGAAUUGGGAUAAGAUACUGGAGAAAGGAAUACAUUGGCAGGGGCAAAAUCUCAAAUGCUUGAGAGGUGUGGGGGAAACGGUUAUUAUAAGCACUAUGGAAUUUGAAUGGGUGUCACUGGGGACCAUUAGUAAAGAAAGGCAAUGAAAAAUUGAGGAUGAUUAAUAACUAAUAUAAAGUGAGCAUGAAAGCAAGAGGGCCUCCUUGGCAACAUAUAAAGACAGUAUACAUCUAGAUGGCAGAAAAAGCUUAGGAGACCCAGGUCUUAAUUAUUAGAAUAGCAGAGCUCCAAGGAAAAUUGAAUUCUCCACCCUUGACAGGUCUGUCACACUAAGGUCAGGGUCCAGAUUGAUGCACUUGAAAUCUUGAAUCCUCAGCUUUACCUGAAUUCUCUGUGCCUGCAGAACUGGCCUAUUUCUCCUUGUUAAAAGCUAGCACUGCCCCUCUUGCUUGAAGACAAUGCAGAAGCUUCUGCCUACAAGGAAACACAUGCCUCCUUGUGAUAUAUCCCCACCUCCUGACCACCAGAUCUAUAAAUAGGGUAAGUCACAUCGUACACCAGCUAGACAUAUGCUGGGCUUGUUAAGGAAAGAAGGAGACCACAGGCCAAAAGAGUGGCAAAGGCCCAGCUAAUAUAUAUAAAAGCUGGAAGAUUAUACAUGGGUGCUGGAUAAAGCCCAUCUAAUUUUCAAAUCAAGAAGCAAGAAGAGAAGCAGUUUCCAUUCACAUGGAUGGACAGUUGCAUACAUUUAUGGUCUUGCCCCAGGAUGACAUUAAAUUUUCUAGCCUUUGUAUAUGGGACCACGAUCAUCAGGACAUUCCCUGGGACAUUAAAUUGGUCCAUUAUACCCAUGAGACUAUGUUAAUUGGACUGAAUGACCAAGAAGUGACACUUGUACUCUGGAGAAUGGUAGAUAAACCCAUCAAAGGCCCACCACAUUAGUGACAUUUUUAGCAGUCUGGUGGUCUAGGACAAGGAUUGGUGAAAUCUGUCCCACCACUUGUUUUUGUAAAUAAAGUUUUAUUGGAAUACAGCCA
rnacentral:lncRNA from 1 species